AGAUAAGCCGUCUUUUUUUCAAGUGAAAAAUGGUAAUAUUACAUAUGUUUAAUGUAGUUUUUUUCAUUUUUUAUGUUGUAUGUUUACAUAUUAUUUAUAAUUUUCGAAAAUUAGUAAUAUUAAAAUGUAAAACUAUAUUUUAUGCCACGUGUCAUCUUUCGGAAGAAGUUUUUUUUGCUUAUGUGGACGCUCUAUGGAGCCUCAAAAGGUCUGUUUUAUUAGUAUAGAUUUUUCUAUAUAUUGUUUAUUUCUCUUUUUUAUACUUUAUAUUUUGAUAAUAUCUAUAUUUUAUAUUUUAAGAUAUAUGUUUAAAUCUUAAUGUAUUUUUCCAUUUUUAAUGUAAAACGGCAAUGUUUAAUAGAAGAACUUGGACAAAUAGUCAAAUAGUUAUAUUUAUGUUUUUUUUAUUUUUUUAUAAAAUGGUAAUGUUACAUUAUGGAGAUAAGCCGUUUUUUUAGUGAAAAAGGAUAAUCUUACAUAUCUUUAAUGUAGUUUUCCAUUUUUUAUGUUGUAUGUUUACAUAUUAUUGUUAUUUUAAAUGUAAAAUGGUAAUCUUACAUAUGUUUAAUGUAGUAUUUCUAUUUUUUAUGUUGUAUGUUUAUAUAUUAUUUAUUAUUUUCGAAAUUAUAUAUAAUGUUUUUUUUACAAAAUAAUAAUGUUACAUUAUGAAGAUAAGCCGUCUUUUUUUAGUGAAAAAUGGUAAUCUUACAUAUGUGUAUGUUGUUUUUCCAUUUUUUAUGUUGUAUGUUUACAUAUUUUUAAAAAAAAAAAUGUAAAAUAGUAAUCUUACAUAUGUUUAAUGUAGUAUUUCCAUUUUUAUGUUGUUUGUUUACAUAUAUUUAUUAUUUUUGAAAUUAUAUAUAAUGUUUUUUUACAUUUUUUUAUAAAACGGUAAUGUUACAUUUUGGAGAUAAGCCGUCUUUUUUCAAGUGAAAAAUGGUAAUAUUACAUGUGUUUAAUGUAGUUUUUCAUUUUUUAUGUUGUAUGUUUACAUAUUAUUUAUAAUUUUCGAAAAUUAGUAAUAUUAAAAUGUAAAACUAUAUUUUAUGCCACGUGUCAUCUUUCGGAAGAAGUUUUUCUUGCUUAUGUGGACGCUCUAUGGAGCCUUAAAAGGUCUCUUUUAUUAGUAUAAUGUUAUAUUUUGGAGAUAAGCCGUCUUUUUUUCAAGUGAAAAAUGGUAAUAUUACAUAUGUUUAAUGUAGUUUUUUUCAUUUUUUAUGUUGUAUGUUUACAUAUUAUUUAUAAUUUUCGAAAAUUAGUAAUAUUAAAAUGUAAAACUAUAUUUUAUGCCACGUGUCAUCUUUCGGAAGAAGUUUUUUUUGCUUAUGUGGACGCUCUAUGGAGCCUCAAAAGGUCUGUUUUAUUAGUAUAGAUUUUUCUAUAUAUUGUUUAUUUCUCUUUUUUUAUACUUUAUAUUUUGAUAAUAUCUAUAUUUUAUAUUUUAAGAUAUAUGUUUAAAUCUUAAUGUAUUUUUCCAUUUUUAAUGUAAAACGGCAAUGUUUAAUAGAAGAACUUGGACAAAUAGUCAAAUAGUUAUAUUUAUGUUUUUUUUAUUUUUUUAUAAAAUGGUAAUGUUACAUUAUGGAGAUAAGCCGUUUUUUUUAGUGAAAAAGGAUAAUCUUACAUAUCUUUAAUGUAGUUUUUCCAUUUUUUAUGUUGUAUGUUUACAUAUUAUUGUUAUUUUAAAUGUAAAAUGGUAAUCUUACAUAUGUUUAAUGUAGUAUUUCUAUUUUUUAUGUUGUAUGUUUAUAUAUUAUUUAUUAUUUUCG
rnacentral:lncRNA from 1 species